ACGGGAGGCAGCAGUGGGGAAUAUUGCACAAUGGGGGGAACCCUGAUGCAGCGAUGCCGCGUGGAGGAAGAAGGUUUUCGGAUUGUAAACUCCUGUCUUAAAGGACGAUAAUGACGGUACUUUAGGAGGAAGCUCCGGCUAACUACGUGCCAGCAGCCGCGGUAAUACGUAGGGAGCGAGCGUUGUCCGGAAUUACUGGGUGUAAAGGGAGCGUAGGCGGGAUUGCAAGUCAGAUGUGAAAUACAGGGGCUCAACCUCUGGGCUGCAUUUGAAACUGUAGUUCUUGAGUGAAGUAGAGGCAAGCGGAAUUCCUGGUGUAGCGGUGAAAUGCGUAGAUAUAAGGAAGAACACCAGUGGCGAAGGCGAUCUACUGGACAGUAACUGACGCUGAGGCGCGAGAGCGUGGGGAGCAAACAGGAUUAGAUACCCUGGUA
rnacentral:rRNA from 1 species